rnacentral:rRNA from 1 species
AUUGAACGCUGGCGGCAGGCCUAACACAUGCAAGUCGAGCGGAUGAAGGGAGCUUGCUCCUGGAUUCAGCGGCGGACGGGUGAGUAAUGCCUAGUAAUCUGCCUGGUAGUGGGGGAUAACGUCCGGAAACGGGCGCUAAUACCGCAUACGUCCUGAGGGAGAAAGUGGGGGAUCUUCGGACCUCACGCUAUCAGAUGAGCCUAGGUCGGAUUAGCUAGUUGGUGGGGUAAAGGCCUACCAAGGCGACGAUCCGUAACUGGUCUGAGAGGAUGAUCAGUCACACUGGAACUGAGACACAGUAAAGACUGCAACAGGAGACAGCAGUGGGGAAUAUUGGACAAUGAGCGAAAGCCUGAUACAACCAUGACGCGUGUGUGAAGAAGGUCUUCGGAUUGUAAAGCACUUAAAGUUGGGAGGAAGGGCAGUAAGAUAAUAACUUGCUGGUUUAACGUUACCAACAGAAUAAGCAACGGCUAACUUCGUG